rnacentral:rRNA from 1 species
AUUGAACGCUGGCGGCAGGCCUAACACAUGCAAGUCGAGCGGAUGAGGGGAGCUUGCUCCUGGAUUCAGCGGCGGACGGGUGAGUAAUGCCUAGGAAUCUGCCUGGUAGUGGGGGAUAACGUCCGGAAACGGGCGCUAAUACCGCAUACGUCCUGAGGGAGAAAGUGGGGGAUCUUCGGACCUCACGCUAUCAGAUGAGCCUAGGUCGGAUUAGCUAGUUGGUGGGGUAAAGGCCUACCAAGGCGACGAUCCGUAACUGGUCUGAGAGGAUGAUCAGUCACACUGGAACUGAGACACGGUCCAGACUCCUACGGGAGGCAGCAGUGGGGAAUAUUGGACAGUGGGCGAAAGCCUGAUCCAGCCAUGCCGCGUGUGUGAAGAAGGUCUUCGGAUUGUAAAGCACUUUAAGUUGGGAGGAAGGGCAGUAAGUUAAUACCUUGCUGUUUGGACGUUACCAACAGAAUAAGCACCGGCUAACUUCGU